rnacentral:rRNA from 1 species
UUAACACAUGCAAGUCGAGCGGGGGAUGUUGCUUCGGUAACUGACCUAGCGGCGGACGGGUGAGUAAUGCUUAGGAAUCUGCCUAUUAGUGGGGGACAACAUUCCGAAAGGAAUGCUAAUACCGCAUACGCCCUACGGGGGAAAGCAGGGGAUCUUCGGACCUUGCGCUAAUAGAUGAGCCUAAGUCAGAUUAGCUAGUUGGUGGGGUAAAGGCCUACCAAGGCGACGAUCUGUAGCGGGUCUGAGAGGAUGAUCCGCCACACUGGGACUGAGACACGGCCCAGACUCCUACGGGAGGCAGCAGUGGGGAAUAUUGGACAAUGGGCGGAAGCCUGAUCCAGCCAUGCCGCGUGUGUGAAGAAGGCCUUUUGGUUGUAAAGCACUUUAAGCGAGGAGGAGGCUACCGAGACUAAUACUCUUGGAUAGUGGACGUUACUCGCAGAAUAAGCACCGGCUAACUCUGUGCCAGCAGCCGCGGUAAUACAGAGGGUGCGAGCGUUAAUCGGAUUUACUGGGCGUAAAGCGUGCGUAGGCGGCUUUUUAAGUCGGAUGUGAAAUCCCUGAGCUUAACUUAGGAAUUGCAUUCGAUACUGGGAAGCUAGAGUAUGGGAGAGGAUGGUAGAAUUCCAGGUGUAGCGGUGAAAUGCGUAGAGAUCUGGAGGAAUACCGAUGGCGAAGGCAGCCAUCUGGCCUAAUACUGACGCUGAGGUACGAAAGCAUGGGGAGCAAACAGGAUUAGAUACCCUGGUAGUCCAUGCCGUAAACGAUGUCUACUAGCCGUUGGGGCCUUUGAGGCUUUAGUGGCGCAGC